GGAGCUUGCUCCAAAGUUAGUGGCGAACGGGUGAGUAACAUAUCGGAACAUGUCCGGAAGUGGGGGAUAACGUAGCGAAAGUUACGCUAAUACCGCAUAUGCCCUGAGGGGGAAAGGGGGGGAUCGCAAGACCUCUCGCUUUCGGAGUGGCCGAUAUCGGAUUAGCUAGUAGGUGAGGUAAAGGCUCACCUAGGCGACGAUCCGUAGCUGGUCUGAGAGGACGACCAGCCACACUGGAACUGAGACACGGUCCAGACUCCUACGGGAGGCAGCAGUGGGGAAUUUUGGACAAUGGGCGCAAGCCUGAUCCAGCCAUACCGCGUGAGUGAAGAAGGCCUUCGGGUUGUAAAGCUCUUUCAACCGGAAAGAAAUCGCGCUUCUUAAUGCGAAAUGUGGAUGACGGUACCGGAAGAAGAAGCACCGGCUAACUACGUGCCAGCAGCCGCGGUAAUACGUAGGGUGCGAGCGUUAAUCGGAAUUACUGGGCGUAAAGCGUGCGCAGGCGGCUUUUUAAGCCAGAUGUGAAAUCCCCAGGCUUAACCUGGGAACUGCAUUUGGAACUGGAAGGCUAGAGUGUAGCAGAGGGGGGUAGAAUUCCACGUGUAGCAGUUGAAAUGCGUAGAUAUGUGGAAGGAAUACCGAAUGGCGAAUGGAGCCCCCUGGGCUUAAUACCUGACGCACUUGCACGAAAGUAUGGGGA
rnacentral:rRNA from 1 species